UUUAUCUACUUUUACCGACGUGACUCUUUAAAAUAGCACCAGUCCUUUUCAUCAAAAUCAAAAUUGUAUCUAAAUUUUUUACUCUUUAUAGCCAGUUAGGUUAUAUAUUACCAUUAACUUUUCAGAUAAAACGGUGAUAAAGCCCUAAUGUUUUCAUGAAACUUCCUUUUUUCCCCCAUCUGAGCAUCGGGGAAAAGGCUCUUCUUGCAAAUGUUGAGGUCACUAGUGUGUGCCCCAUUUCUUCCAGGAUCACUCUCUUUAUAGGUUUUAGUGGACUCCUAGUACUGUGAAGUGGUUUCAUGGUACAAAGGCAUUGUAUUCCAAGAUCUGGGAGAUUGUAGAAAUGAGCAGUGAUGCCCUUCCUACCAUCUUUCCAGAAAAAUAAGUGAUCUGGAAGCUGUUAGGCUUACUUACAGCAGCAGCACUUUCUGCACCUGCAUAAACUCCCGGACACAUUUACUAACAGUGUUUGUUGCUGUAUGUGCUGCAGCUUUGAAUUUUUUAUUAAUAUAUAUUUUGUUAAUAUUUUGGCUAUGGUGUCUUGUUAUGAAAUGUACAAGAGUAAAAGUGUUUUUAGCAUGUGCUUCAAAGCUAAGUUUGACUGGGAAACUCAAAGCUCAAUAGUCUGCACUCUCAGAAAUAGAGGUACGAGAGAAGAACAUUUUUGUACCUAUAGGUACAUUUUUUGUAAAUGUUCCCUUAAAAGUACAAUACUGGUCUUUAAAAGUCCAGAAAUGCCCCUUUAAAGGUUCAAUUUGAAAUAAAGUACAAAUCUGUACCAUUUUGACCUGUACUGCAGUGACAGUGGCAGAAUGUGGUAAUGGGUCAGCAUGGGAAAAUCUGGAUGGGCCUGGUUAAUUGUAAAAUUCAUAUGAGAUGUGAGUGUGCUCAUAAAAGCUACAUGUUAUAAUCAAAUCUGUUGGUCCUCUCCUCUGUACGUAAAUUAUCCUAUGAUGCAAAGAAUAUCUGUAACCUACCUUUGUGUAAGUUAUGUUAAAUUAUAUUAAAAAAAACACACACAAUGACAUGCAGGCACAACCAAAUGAUGUUAAAAAAAACUGGUCCAUUUCCAUUUUAUUAAGUUCCAGUUAUAAUUUUUAAUGUUUUAAAUCUUGGUUGUAGCCUUCAAAAACGUGAAAUCAUUUUACUGUUAUGUUUGGCCAUUUACUUUUUCGCUUUUACUACAUCCUAGAAUUGUUCAUUAAUUGUGAGGUUUUUAUGGAAUUUGCAACAUCAAGUUAAACCGAGGUUCUUUGGAAGUUAAAAUGUCAAGCAGAUUUUUAUGUUACGGUGACUACAUUUUGUAAGUUACAAAUAUAGUUCGCCAAGACAGCAUAACGGUUUCUAAACAACUGCGCAUUAAUACCACAAUGUUGUAUUUUCAUGUGUCAAGUUCGCAACGCGCAUUAAUCCCAAAGGCUGAAAAGCCAGCAGCGAUGACUAGAGUUGACACAGAAAUUGACUCUCAGGGGGUUAUCGAUGGAGGAGCUCCUUAAAAAGUUGAUGGAAGAAGGCAUUGAUGUGUCAAACGACGAGGCGCAAAGGUUUAGAGAUAACGAUGUAGAUGGAGAGACGGUAGACUGUGGACUCACUGAGACCAUGGUUGCAUAUCUUUUUGACAAGUCUUUCAAAAAGCAGCUGAAGUUCAGAGACUUCACAAACCGCUACAAGGACGUCAUCAUCACUUUACAACCGGUCGACCCAUUUGAAGGUACAGUUGAAGGUCCAGUGUCCCAAGCAAACCAGAGUUCUAUACCUUCUUGCCGUAGACUGCCUGCAGUUAUUUCCAUUCCAAAAUUCCCACAAGAUGUCCAGAGUCGCUUGGAUCUCAAAGAACCAGUCCAGAAAGAACAGAAGUACCGAAACAAAAUAAUUAGGACUCUUUAUGAAAUGCUGUCACAGUACACAAUGUACCCAACCCACUCAGACUACAUCCAGGUCAUCAAAGCCCUGAUUGUGAAGUAUCCUUUCUUAAGAGAUGUACACGGAAAUGGUUAUGACACCUGGCACAGCCAACUCAAGAGAAAGUUCAAAGCAGAACGGGCUCCCCUAAUCAGCAACGAAGAAGUGAACCGGGUUAAAGAAAAGUUUGGACGCACGCAGAAACAUCGGACCACAGAGGAAUCCAGCAGUUCCUGUCUGAAGAGACUGAAGCCC
ensembl:lncRNA